AUUGAACGCUGGCGGCAGGCUUAACACAUGCAAGUCGAGCGGUAACAGAGAGAAGCUUGCUUCUCUGCUGACGAGCGGCGGACGGGUGAGUAAUGCCUAGGAAUCUGCCUAGUGGUGGGGGAUAACUUGCCGAAAGGUAAGCUAAUACCGCAUACGUCCUACGGGAGAAAGGAGGGGACCUUCGGGCCUUUCGCUAUUAGAUGAGCCUAGGUCGGAUUAGUUAGUUGGUGAGGUAAUGGCUCACCAAGACCGCGAUCCGUAACUGGUCUGAGAGGAUGAUCAGUCACACUGGAACUGAGACACGGUCCAGACUCCUACGGGAGGCAGCAGUGGGGAAUAUUGGACAAUGGGGGGAACCCUGAUCCAGCCAUGCCGCGUGUGUGAAGAAGGUCUUAGGAUUGUAAAGCACUUUAAGUUGGGAGGAAGAGCAGUUAACUAAUAUUUGACUGUUUUGACGUUACCGACAGAAUAAGCACCGGCUAACCUCGUGCCAGCAGCCGCCGUAA
rnacentral:rRNA from 1 species